GAGUUUGAUCAUGGCUCAGGAUGAACGCUGGCGGCGUGCUUAACACAUGCAAGUCGAACGAACCUUCGGGUUAGUGGCGGACGGGUGAGUAACGCGUGAGAAUCUGCCCUCAGGAGGGGGAUAACAGCUGGAAACGGCUGCUAAUACCCCAUAUGCCGCGAGGUGAAAUGAAUUUCGCCUGAGGAUGAGCUCGCGUCUGAUUAGCUAGUUGGUGUAGGUAAUGGCUCACCAAGGCUUCGAUCAGUAGCUGGUCUGAGAGGAUGAUCAGCCACACUGGGACUGAGACACGGCCCAGACUCCUACGGGAGGCAGCAGUGGGGAAUUUUCCGCAAUGGGCGAAAGCCUGACGGAGCAACGCCGCGUGAGGGAUGAAGGCCUCUGGGCUGUAAACCUCUUUUCUCAAGGAAGAAGAUCUGACGGUACUUGAGGAAUAAGCCACGGCUAAUUCCGUGCCAGCAGCCGCGGUAAUACGGGAGUGGCAAGCGUUAUCCGGAAUUAUUGGGCGUAAAGCGUCCGCAGGCGGCCCUUCAAGUCUGCUGUUAAAACGUGGAGCUUAACUCCAUCAUGGCAGUGGAAACUGUUGGGCUUGAGUGUGGUAGGGGCAGAGGGAAUUCCCGGUGUAGCGGUGAAAUGCGUAGAUAUCGGGAAGAACACCAGUGGCGAAGGCGCUCUGCUGGGCCAUAACUGACGCUCAUGGACGAAAGCCAGGGGAGCGAAAGGGAUUAGAUACCCCUGUAGUCCUGGCCGUAAACGAUGAACACUAGGUGUCGGGGGAAUCGACCCCCUCGGUGUCGUAGCCAACGCGUUAAGUGUUCCGCCUGGGGAGUACGCACGCAAGUGUGAAACUCAAAGGAAUUGACGGGGGCCCGCACAAGCGGUGGAGUAUGUGGUUUAAUUCGAUGCAACGCGAAGAACCUUACCAGGGUUUGACAUCCUGCGAACCUCUUGGAAACGAGAGGGUGCCUUCGGGAACGCAGUGACAGGUGGUGCAUGGCUGUCGUCAGCUCGUGUCGUGAGAUGUUGGGUUAAGUCCCGCAACGAGCGCAACCCACGUCUUUAGUUGCCAGCAUUUAGUUGGGCACUCUAGAGAGACCGCCGGUGAUAAACCGGAGGAAGGUGUGGAUGACGUCAAGUCAUCAUGCCCCUUACAUCCUGGGCUACACACGUACUACAAUGCUACGGACAAAGGGCAGCAAGUUCGCGAGGACAAGCAAAUCCCAUAAACCGUGGCUCAGUUCAGAUCGUAGGCUGCAACUCGCCUACGUGAAGGAGGAAUCGCUAGUAAUCGCAGGUCAGCAUACUGCGGUGAAUACGU
rnacentral:rRNA from 1 species